rnacentral:tRNA from 2 species
GGCGCAUUCGUCUACGCUGGUUAGGAUACUAGGCUUUCACCCUGGAGAAACGGGAUCGACACCCGUAUGCGUCACCA